AGAAUGCCUCCCUCUGGUCCCAUGAGUUUAGACAGGACCUUGUAGAUCAGGGCACUGUGUGGAGCCCGUGGGAAAUCUCUCUGGAUGAUCCCGGAGAUUUUGGAGCAAGUCUCUGCUCCCUGCAACCGUUCCCUUGUCCAUCAAGAGAGCUCCUGACUUGCUACUGGGCUCACAAGUUGCUUGUGCACAUUCCAGAAGUUGAUUUCAGCUUUAUGGAUCCUGGACAAUCGUGUGGAUAUCCCUGAACAACAGCGAGGGUGAGGAUUUCUCCUUCACAUUCCCCUUAUACUAAAAGGAAGAUUGGCCUGGAUCUGAAUUUACGGACAUUUCUGUUUGGCCUGAUGAGCAGGAACUUGGAAAGACCAAGUUUGUUUACAAAGAAGAGACAUAUGGAUUCUGUCGAUGAGUUAAUUGCAGCAGAAACAGGAGAUCAAUCAUCUUGGGAGAGCACAGGAGUAAAGAACAAGGGACACACACCAUCAGAUCAUUUGACAUAUUCCUUCGUCCUGAGCAACAUCCCACUCAGUGUGGCUGACUCUUCUCCUCCUGACUUCCUGUGUCUUUUCAUAACUAAUUGCUAUAACUAAUACAGCUUGAGCAUGCUUCUGUCUUGCAAUCAAAAGAACUUAGUACAAUCAUAUUAUCCUCAAAUAAUGAUAAUCUCAUCUUUCCCUCCUAAUAGUUAUGCCUCUUGGUUCUGUUUCUUGUCUUAUGGCACUAGCCAGGAAUUCCAGAAUAUUAUAAAUAAUAGUGGUAACAUCAGGAAUCCUUUUCUUGUUCCUGAUAUUAAUCGCAGUGCCUGUGGAGCAUUUUUGAGCCGAAACUCUGAAAAAGAUUUUCAGUUCCUUGGACGUUCCACUCAACACACACCAGGGAACCCUUCCUGCCAAGAAUGGACUAAAUGCAUUACCAAUAGAGAUGAAAGGAACACAGAACAAAGGAAAGAGGCUUCGAGGACAUAUAUUUCAGAAAGUCGCCAACUUUUAAAACUGUCUGGAACUAUACCAACACAUAUGUAACAGGACCCAGGCAAAGUUGGCUUCUCUUGCUUCUGUUUGCACAAGUUCACGUUGCUUGUCUUUUAAGGUCUCUAACAGGGUCCUCUGAAUCCCGAUCAGCUUUGUGUUGAAUCUGUCUGCCCAACUGUUGCUGUCCUUCUUAGCACAGAGUCAGCUGGAGCCUUGCAGAGCAGUACAACACGACGCCUGGUGCCCAGGCCAGGACUUGCUUCACGUGUGGCAAAGGGCAGAACUUCAACGGCUGCGACAACGGGACUAAAACAUCUCCUCUGUUUGGAUAAGUCAGUGAGAGACUCGGCCAAAUGGGUUGUUUGGUGUCACAUAGCAAAACAAUCAGUUAGGCAGCUGAUUUUUCUCUCCCAACCACUGUGUUGACACUGCCUCAAAUUCUAAUCUGAUGGUACCAAGAGUGCCCUUUUCUUGAAAAAAAAGAUUGGCCCUGAGCUGACAUCUGUUGCCAACUUUCCUCUUUUUUUUUUUUUUUCCUUCUUCUCCUCAAAGCCCCCUAGUACAUAGUUGCAUAUUCUAGUUGCAGGUCCUUCUAGUUCUGCUAUGUGGGACGCCGCCUCAGCAUGGCCUGACAAGCCAUGCUGGGCCCAGGCCCAGGAUUUGAACCAGCGAAACCAUAGGCCACUGGAAUGGAGGAACUUAACCACUCGGCCACAGGCCCGGCCCCAAGAGUACCCUUUUUAAAAAAAUGUUUAACCACUUAAGGGGUUGUUAUAUUUACUAUUCUUCUGAAUCUCCCAUCACUCUGUGCAGCAGAGAGAGCAGCUAAUAUUAGCCUAAUUUGAUAAAGACGAAACCGAAACCCAGAGGACGUGCCUGGUUUGCUCCAGGUCUCAUGGCUUGUUGGUACUGGAGUUAGAACUUGAACCCCCAGCGGCCCUCACUUUACCUGCCCAUCUCUCCCGCAAUGCAGCACUGCCUCUGCUUCAUCAGCGUUUUUUUUUUUUUCUAGAAAUGUAUACUUUUUGGAGAGAAAGUUGUAUAUGUUAGACUUUAAAAUUUUAAGUACUUCCAAAUAUUUGUGGAAUACAAGAGCAUUCAAUAAAUAAAUGUUAUGUAAAUUGCA
rnacentral:lncRNA from 1 species